rnacentral:rRNA from 1 species
GACCUCAAAUCAGGUAGGACUACCCGCUGAACUUAAGCAUAUCAAUAAGCGGAGGAAAAGAAACUAACAAGGAUUCCCCUAGUAACUGCGAGUGAAGCGGGAAAAGCUCAAAUUUAAAAUCUGGCGGUCUUUUGGCUGUCCGAGUUGUAAUCUAGAGAAGUGUUAUCCGCGCUGGACCGUGUACAAGUCUCCUGGAAUGGAGCAUCAUAGAGGGUGAGAAUCCCGUCUUUGACAUGGACUGCCAGGGCUUUGUGAUGCGCUCUCAAAGAGUCGAGUUGUUUGGGAAUGCAGCUCAAAAUGGGUGGUAAAUUCCAUCUAAAGCUAAAUAUUGGCGAGAGACCGAUAGCGAACAAGUACCGUGAGGGAAAGAUGAAAAGAACUUUGGAAAGAGAGUUAAACAGUACGUGAAAUUGCUGAAAGGGAAACGCUUGAAGUCAGUCGCGUCAUCCAGGGAUCAACCUUGCUUUUGCUUGGUGCACUUUCUGGUUUGAUGGGUCAGCAUCAAUUUUGACUGUUGGAAAAAGGUCAAGGGAAUGUGGCAUCUUUGGAUGUGUUUAUAGCCCUUGGUCACAUACAAUGGUUGGGAUUGAGGAACUCAGCACGCCGCAAGGCCGGGUUUUAAACCACGUACGUGCUAGA